rnacentral:rRNA from 1 species
AGAGGCGAUGAAGGACGUGCUAAUCUGCGAUAAGCGUCGGUGAGGUGAUAUGAACCGUUAUAACCGGCGAUUUCCGAAUGGGGAAACCCAGUGUGUUUCGACACACUAUCAUUAACUGAAUCCAUAGGUUAAUGAGGCGAACCGGGGGAACUGAAACAUCUAAGUACCCCGAGGAAAAGAAAUCAACCGAGAUUCCCCCAGUAGCGGCGAGCGAACGGGGAGGAGCCCAGAGCCUGAAUCAGUGUGUGUGUUAGUGGAAGCGUCUGGAAAGGCGCGCGAUACAGGGUGACAGCC